UUUUUGAUUAAUUUUAAUCAUUAUUUUUUUUCUUGCACAGACCGCAAUUAUAGGCAUAAUUCAUUUUCUGCUGAAUGUAUAGCAAGAAGCAGUAGCUUUUGCUGUGAUGGUUGUUUUGUUAUUAAGCCCAGUUAAUGUUCUCUUGCCUGUAUGCAGCGUGGUGUGGGUGUGAUGUGGCUAUUCUCAUUCUUGAUUGUAAGGAUUUCAUGUCUGCAGAUAAUGUAUUACAAGAGGCUGUUGUGUGCCAGUGGACAAGCUGGUGAGAAGCUGAACACUAAUAGCUUGAAUCCUGGUGAAUGGACUGCCUGCAUAAGCGUCGUCAUGAUUUUUCCACGUGUAAUAUGAAUGCAAGCCAGUUUG